CGAGCGGACAGAAGGGAGCUUGCUCCCGGAUGUUAGCGGCGGACGGGUGAGUAACACGUGGGUAACCUGCCUGUAAGACUGGGAUAACUCCGGGAAACCGGAGCUAAUACCGGAUAGUUCCUUGAACCGCAUGGUUCAAGGAUGAAAGACGGUUUCGGCUGUCACUUACAGAUGGACCCGCGGCGCAUUAGCUAGUUGGUGGGGUAAUGGCUCACCAAGGCGACGAUGCGUAGCCGACCUGAGAGGGUGAUCGGCCACACUGGGACUGAGACACGGCCCAGACUCCUACGGGAGGCAGCAGUAGGGAAUCUUCCGCAAUGGACGAAAGUCUGACGGAGCAACGCCGCGUGAGUGAUGAAGGUUUUCGGAUCGUAAAGCUCUGUUGUUAGGGAAGAACAAGUGCGAGAGUAACUGCUCGCACCUUGACGGUCCCUAACCAGAAAGCCACGGCUAACUACGUGCCAGCAGCCGCGUUAAUACGUAUGUGGCAAGCGUUGUCCGGAGUUAUGGUCGUACAGGUCUCUCAGGCAGUUUCUUAGGUCUGAUGUGAAAGCGCGCGGCUCA
rnacentral:rRNA from 1 species